UACAGAGGUCACAAGCGUUAUCCGGAUUUAUUGGGCGUAAAGCGUUUCGUAGGCGGACUUGUAAGUUAUCCUUCAAAGACCACGGCUCAACCGGGGGAAGGGGGGUAAUACUGUGAGUCUCAGACUCGUGGUGGGGCUUCUGGAACUGAUGGUGUAGUAGUGAAAUACGUUGAUAUCAUCAGGAACUCCAAGGGCGAAGGCAGGAAGCUAACCACGCAGUGACGCUGAGGAACGACAGCUAGGGG
rnacentral:rRNA from 1 species